rnacentral:rRNA from 1 species
GAUCCCUCCCGUUAGGGGGACCUGCGGAAGGAUCAUUACCUAGAGUUGCGGGCUUUGCCUGCCAUCUCUUACCCAUGUCUUUUGAGUACCUUCGUUUCCUCGGCGGGUUCGCCCGCCGAUUGGACAAAACUUAAACCCUUUGUAAUUGAAAUCAGCGUCUGAAAAAAACAUAAUAGUUACAACUUUCAACAACGGAUCUCUUGGUUCUGGCAUCGAUGAAGAACGCAGCGAAAUGCGAUAAGUAGUGUGAAUUGCAGAAUUCAGUGAAUCAUCGAAUCUUUGAACGCACAUUGCGCCCCUUGGUAUUCCAUGGGGCAUGCCUGUUCGAGCGUCAUUUGUACCUUCAAGCUUUGCUUGGUGUUGGGUGUUUGUCUCGCCUCUGCGCGCAGACUCGCCUCAAAACGAUUGGCAGCCGGCGUAUUGAUUUCGGAGCGCAGUACAUCUCGCGCUUUGCACUCACAACGACGACGUCCAAAAAGUACAUUUUUUACACUCUUGACCUCGGAUCAGGUAGGGAUACCCGCUGAACUUAAGCAUAUCAAAAGGCCGGAGGAACU